rnacentral:rRNA from 1 species
UAAAAUAAUUAAGGGCACACAAAGGAUGCCUAGGUAGUAAGAGCCGAUGAAGGACGUGGUAAGCUGCGAUAAGCCUAGAUAAGUUGCAAUCGAACGUAAGAGUCUAGGAUUUCCGAAUGGAGCAAUCUAUUAAGAUGGAGUCUUAAUACGAAAGAGGGAACCGCGUGAACUGAAACAUCUAAGUAACGCGAGGAAAAGAAAGUAAAAACGAUACCCAAAGUAGCGGCGAGCGAACUGGGUCAAGCCUAAACCUUAAAUAUGUCAAGGAUACAGCCGUUGUAUUUAAGGGGUUGUGGGACAGAGUGAUGAAGAACUGUAAGAUAUUCAAUAUAGUGUAUUGAUGAAUUAGAAUUGUCUGGAAAGGUGAACCGCAGAAGGUGAAAGUCCUGUAUAAGUAAAUCCUUACACAUAUAACUUUGCUCCCAAGUAACAUGGAACACGAGGAAUUCUGUGUGAAUCAGUGAGGACCAUAUCUCAUAAGGCUAAAUACUCUUACUAACCGAUAGCGCAUAGUACCGUGAGGGAAAGGUGAAAAGAACCCCUGGAGGGGAGUGAAAUAGAACCUGAAAUUGUGUGCUUACAAGCGGUCAGAGCCCAUUUGGGUGAUGGCGUGCCUUUUGGAGAAUGAUCCUGCGAGUUACGUUAAACGGCGAGGUUAAGUAUAACGGAGCCGAAGGGAAACCAAGUCUUAAUAGGGCGAUUUAGUCGUUUGGCGUAGACGCGAAACCUGGUGAUCUAAACCUGUCCAGGAUGAAGCUGUGGUAAGACACAGUGGAGGUCCUAACCCACCGCCGUUGAAAAGUUGGGGGAUGAGGUAGGUUUAGGGGUGAAAAGCCAAUCGAACCAGGAGAUAGCUCGUUCUCUCCGAAAUGCAUCUAGGUGCAGCCUUGAGUGUUCAAUUAUGGGGGUAGAGCACUGAAUGAUCUAGGGGGCAUAUUGCUUACUGAAAUCAAUCAAACUCCGAAUACCAUAAUUUAUAGCUCAGGAGUGAGACUAUGGGAGUUAACUUCCAUUGUCAAAAGGGAAACAACCCAGACCACCAGCUAAGGUCCCUAAUUAUAACUAAGUGGGAAAGGAGGUGGAGAUUCACAAACAACUAGGAGGUUGGCUUAGAAGCAGCCAUACCUUUAAAGAGUGCGUAAUAGCUCACUAGUCGAGAGUCUCUGCGCCGACAAUGUAACGGGGCUAAGUUAUAAACCGAAGCUGUGGAAUCCUUUUGGAUUGGUAGGAGAGCGUUCUGUAGGCCGUUGAAGAAGAAGGGUAACCAACUUUGGAGGUAUCAGAAGUGAGAAUGCAGGAAUAAGUAGCGAGAAAGGGGGCGAGAAUCCCCCUCGCCGGAAGACCAAGGUUUUCAGGGUAAAGCUUGUCUUCCCUGAGUAAGCCGGGACCUAAGCCCAGGCUAUAAUGCGUAGGCGAAUGGAAAACAGAUUAAUAUUUCUGUGCCAGUCAUUUAUUGUGAUGGAGGGACGCAGAAGGGUAUGCGCGCGGACGAUCGGUUGUGUCCGUAGAAGUAUGUAGGAUGACUUAGUAGGUAAAUCCAUUAAGUUAUAUCUGAGGUAUGAUAUACAGUCGUAAGAUGAAUGCGCAAAUCCCACGCUGCCAAGAAAAGCUUCUAACGUUAAUAUAUGACUGCCCGUACUGUAAACCGACACAGGUGGUCAGGAUGAGAAAUCUAAGGCGGACAGGCUAACUCUCGUUAAGGAACUCUGCAAAAUAACCUCGUAACUUCGGGAGAAGAGGAGCCCUUGUGUGUUAGUAUCCAUGCGAUACAAAGCGCUCGAGGGUCGCAGUGAAGAGGCUCAAGCAACUGUUUAACAAAAACACAGGUCUAUGCUAAGCUGGAAGGCGAUGUAUAUGGGCUGACACCUGCCCAGUGCUGGAAGGUUAAGAGGAGGAGUGAGAGCUCCGAAUUGAAGCCCCAGUGAACGGCGGCCGUAACUAUAACGGUCCUAAGGUAGCGAAAUUCCUUGUCGGGUAAGUUCCGACCUGCACGAAUGGUGUAACGAU